rnacentral:rRNA from 1 species
UACGUAGGGGGCAAGCGUUGUCCGGAAUCAUUGGGCGUAAAGAGCGUGUAGGCGGCUCGGUAAGUCCGCUGUGAAAGUCCAGGGCUCAACCCUGGAAUGCCGGUGGAAACUGUCGAGCUAGAGUCCGGAAGAGGAGAGUGGAAUUCCUGGUGUAGCGGUGAAAUGCGCAGAUAUCAGGAAGAACACCCGUGGCGAAGGCGGCUCUCUGGGACGGUACUGACGCUGAGACGCGAAAGCGUGGGGAGCGAACAGG